CGACAAGGCAUCGCCUUGAUUUUUGACAUCCUCUAUCACCUUGGUCAUCUUCUCACCUUGAUAACUAUGCUUAUCGUUGUGGUACCAAUAUUUUUAUGUUAGAACAUCAGUUAGAUUUUCAAAAUCAGAUGUUAUUUGCUAUUUUGGUUUACCUAACCAAGACUAUUAUUAUUCAGAACAACUUCUUUGACUCAAUGGUCCACUGUUUGAGCUCUGUGACAGAAUGAUGUCGUGAUUUUGACUAUUUGAUUGAUAGGUCUAGUGGUUUGGUUGGCCUUGUGUCAAUUUUCAGGACCUAGUUCGAUCAAAUACCCCCCUAGUGUUGGCAUGCAUACUUGUACUUUUCAGCUGUUUGUGUAAUGGCCCCGCACCCUCCCAUAGUCCCUGGAUUUCCAAAGGUUUAUUUUGCCACUUGGCUUUAUCCUUUUGGGAUGAAACUUGACAUGUAGACUGGAACCUAGAGGUCUACCUAUCUACAAAAUUUGGGCCCUAUUGAAUAUGACCUAAAUUAUGUCUUCUCUAGGCAAAUAGGCUCAACUGUAUAUAUUUUUCUGGUUGUACUUUCUUAAUUCUUACUCAUCUAACCAUAUGUUCUAGAGUUUUUCUUGGUUACUAAUAAUCAUUUGCUGCCCAGGAGCUUAAUGUGCCAGAGAAAGAUGUCGAACAAUUGCUGGUCUCGCUAAUUCUGGAUAACCGUAUCCAGGGGCAUAUUGAUCAAGUUAAUCGGCUGUUAGAGCGGGAGGACAGGUCUAAAGGGACGAAAAAAUAUGCUGCGAUAGAGAAAUGGAACACACAGCUCAGGUCUCUCUACCAAACUAUCAGCAACCGUGUAGGAUAAAAUAUUUGUUUUAGUAAGGUAUGGUCAUUCGGUUAUGAAGAGCUCCCAGUUUUGGCACACUGGUGUUGUUGAGUUUUUUUUUUUUUUGGGGGGGGUGGGACUUUUCAUUGAUUCAUAUAUCCCCCAUUCACACCAUACAGUUAGGAAACCUGUGAAUACUAAGAGGGGUUUUUAUUUUGUUAUUAUAUGUUAUUAUGACUAAACCUGUGCAAUGUGUACAUUCGAAGUUCGUUUCUGUUAUGUCAAUCUGGUUCUUGACAGAUAUUAUGUGGAAAGGCACUGAGUCGAGAUAUAUUUGUCUAAUUCAACUAAUCAUUGAUGUCAGAAUUUAGUUUCUGGAAAAAGUGAUAGUGAUUCAGUUGAAUGAAAAAUUGGAUAUGUGAAAAA